GGGGAAUCAGGGUUCGAUUCGUGAGAGGGAGCCUGAGAAACGGCUACCACAUCCAAGGAAGGCAGCAGGCGCGCAAAUUACCCAUUCCCGACGCGGGGAGGUAGUGACGAAAAAUAACAAUGCAGGACUCGUUCGAGGCCCUGUAAUUGGAAUGAGUACACUUUAAAAGCUUUAACGAGUAUCCAUUGGAGGGCAAGUCUGGUGCCAGCAGCCGCGGUAAUUCCAGCUCCAAAAGUAUAUAUUUAAGUUGUUGCGGUUAAAAAGCUCGUAGUUGGAUUUUGGGCGCAGGCGGCCGGUCCGUCGCAAGGCGUGUACUGGACGUCCUGGCCUUCCCUCCGGUUCUCCGCCGGUGCUCUUGACUGAGUGUCGGCGGCGGCCGGAACGUUUACUUUGAAAAAAUUAGAGUGUUCAAAGCAGGCUCUCGAGCCUGGAUAAUGGUGCAUGGAAUAAUGGAAUAGGACCUCGGUUCUAUUUUGUUGGUUUUCGGAGCGCGAGGUAAUGAUUAAGAGGGACAGACGGGGGCAUUCGUACUGUGCCGUUAGAGGUGAAAUUCUUGGAUCGGCGCAAGACGAACGACUGCGAAAGCAUUUGCCAAGAAUGUUUUCUUUAAUCAAGAGCGAAAGUCAGAGGUUCGAAGACGAUCAGAUACCGUCCUAGUUCUGACUAUAAACGAUGCCAACUAGCGAUCGGGGGGCGUUACAUUGACGACCCCUCCGGCAGCUUACGGGAAACCAAAGUCUGUUGGGUUCCGGGGGGAAGUAUGGUUGCAAAGCUGAAACUUAAAGGAAUUGACGGAAGGGCACCACCAGGAGUGGAGCCUGCGGCUUAAUUUGACUCAACACGGGAAAUCUCACCCGGCC
rnacentral:ncRNA from 1 species